CUUUUCUCUUGGCAUUUAUUACAUACCUUCAAUCUUAGUUCAUUUUCUGUUGCUAUAACAUGAUGCCUGAGACUGGGUAAUUUAUAAAGAAAGAGGUUCAUUUGGCUCUUGAUUCUGGAGGCUGGGAAGUGCAAGAUCAGACAGCUGCAUCUGGUCCACUUCUGGUGAGGGUCUUGUAUACCAUCACAAUAUAGCAGAGAGGCAAAACAGGAAGUGUACAUGCAAAAAGGACAAAACAUGAGGCAUGACCUUGCUUUAUAAAAACAUGCUCUCUGGAGAACUAACCUGGUUUUGUGAGAAAGACAUUAAUUCAUCUUGCUGGCCUAAUCACCUCUUGAAGGCCCCACCUCCCAACGUGGUUACCUUGGCAAUUUUUUUGGCAAUCAAUUUUAACAUAAGUUUUGGAGAGGACAAACCACAUUCAAACCAUAAAACUUUCCUUCUUAGAACAUCAUCUUCUUUGCUAUGACUCAGCCAUCUUCUAGUUACCUCCUAUAACCCUGGGUGCUACUUCUGUUUAUUUCAUGGAAUCUUCUACAAUCUGUGUCAUAGUGUUUGUGGGGUUCCAGAUUCUGCUCUGCGCUCUCUUCUCUUCUCACCCUACCCAUUUCCCUGGGAAAUUGUACCUACUUCUGUUAUUGAUCUUUUGAUAACUUCCAUAUCUGUUCUUCAGCUCUGUGGUACAUUGCAAAGCCUGUCCAGAAAUAUUUAUUGCUCCUCCUGUCAAGAGGUGGAGUUGAUUUCUCCAACCAUUGAAUCUGGCUGCCUUUGGGACUUGCUAUGGAGAACAAAAUGCAGAAGUGAUGCUGUGCCAGUCUUAAGCUUGUACCUCAAGAUGUUUUGCACACAUAUGCUUUUGAUCUUGGAACCCCUUAUCGUAGCCCAGUGAACAAACUGGGCUGAGCUGAUGAUCAAAGACAACUCCUUCACCCUUUCUGUCUACAAGGCCCUCUGAAAACAGCUGGUCCUCUGGUGAUCUAUCAGUUAACUGGAUACUUUCAAAAUGUAAUUUUAACCAUGUGAAUCACCUGAAGAAAUUCCUAUAAUGGCUCACAUUCUGUCAUAAUGUCCAUGAGCUUCUGCUGGACUCACAGCCUUGACUUUAAUCCUCAUAUAAUUGGGAAGAAUUAACAAUUCUUGAACGGGAACAUGUUAGUACCAGGGCUCUGCUUCAAGAGAACUGGUCUGGGAGUUGUACUGAGCAUGGCCUAUGGGGAAACUUGGGAUGUAAGAAGAGAAAUUAAGAAGGCCUUUCAUACAUCCAAUGAGAAAAGAUGGAUCUCAAACAAGACUGGUGGCAAUGGGAGCUUUCAGUGUUUUUUGAAGGAAAGUUUUAGGAGGAUGAGAUGGAUACCAAGAAGAACUUCAGGAGUAUGUUAUUCAGGCUUUGUUCUGACCAGAUGUCAAGGGAGGGAAAGGGAAAAGUAAAAACUGCCCGUGAUCUCAAGCCUGGCUCACAGAUAUGAGUGAAAGCACUGUUUGAAUAAUAAAGUAUGGAGGAGAAGGAAGUUUAUGGAGCAAAGAAAUGGUCACAAGACAACUAGGGGACAUGGUGCUGGAAAGGUGGUUUGGGGUCAGCCCUUCUGUGCUUGCGUGGCAGCUAGUAGCUCAAGCGCACUGCUCAGCUUUUUCCUUCUGCAUCUCUGUAUACACCAUUUCUUCUACCCAGCUUCCUGAUCUAUUAAUUAAAACCAUACUUCCAACAUCUUU